GGGAGAAAGCCUGUUGCGUGGAAGAUAAGGCGGCGCGGGAAGUGGACACAGGGUGGGCUGGAGGUGUGCUUCGCGUGUGAUGCCAGGGGAGUGGAAAGGUGGCUUGGGGAGUGCAGAACCCUGAGGAUAGUGGCGGGGAGGAAGAUGGGGCGUGCAGGCCGCCCCCAGUGAGGAGAGGCCAGGAUGCAGGGCGGCUCCAGGGCAAUCUGGGCAGUUGGGGGAGCCCUCCGUAUCGUUCCCGGAGGUAGCAGGAGUAGCUGUGCGGGAGGUGCCACUCCUGGGCGCUUGCUUUGCCUCCAGCAUGACCCCCGACCCUGGCUUGCACCCUGAAUCUAGCUGCGAGCCUUGGGCAGAAUGGAUACCUGAGGAAAGGUAUGGUUUCUCUCCAGCUCAGAUCUAACUGGACUCUCGCUCCUGCUGGCUGGACAUGGAGGAUUUGGAGGAAGGUAAAGAGAUCAGGACAGCAAGCAAGACUUCAGUAGCAAACCACUACAGUCAGUACCUGGACUCGCCUCUACCCAGCAGACCCUGACUCCAGCAGAUUCUGGCCCAGGGACAGGAGGAAGAGAUGCCACCAGGGCUGGUCUCCCAGGAGUAGAGACCAUGGGAAAUGGGGUGGAUUAGGAUUGAGCUGGAGAAGACUUAAACUCUCUGGGUUGAAAGAAGAUUAGGGGAAAAGAGGUCACCUUCCAGCAGUGAAAUGAACAAAUAGAAGAUGAGAAGUACAGGCAAGUGGUUUGUCUUUAUCCACCCCCACUGUUGUGGUCAGCCCCAGAGAAUUUUAUCUUCUUCCUUGGCAUUGGUUCACUGGACAUUUCCACGUGAGCGGCCUCCGUAGCUAACCUCCCUGCCCUCUGAGGAGCCAUCUUCCUGAAUCGCAUUCUCUACUGGACUCUGGCCUGCUUGGAGAGGUGGCAGCAGGCACCUGGUCUUCAGAAAUUGUUUCCUGUGAAUUCUGUGACUCCUAAUAGGCCAGUUUGUGAUAAGCUUACUCUAUGAGUCUUCAUUUUUCUAAAAUAAAGUGAAUGUAUUUUUAUAUUCUCUGU
rnacentral:lncRNA from 1 species